UGUUUGCACUUAGCGGGAAGGGUAAGAACCUUCGACUAAGGUUCGACUCGAGCGCCAGCGAGAGAGCGUUGCCACAGGCAACGGCCCGAAGGGCGAGGAGCGAUAGCGACGAGUUAUCCUUCCCCCACCACCA
rnacentral:sRNA from 2 species